GAUGAAGAACGCAGCGAAAUGCGAUACGUAAUGUGAAUUGCAAAUUCAGUGAAUCAUCGAGUCUUUGAACGCACAUUGCGCCCCCUGGUAUACCGGGGGGCAUGCCUGUCCGAGCGUCAUUGCUGCCCUCAAGCACGGCUUGUGUGUUGGGCCCCGUCCUCCGAUUCCGGGGGACGGGCCCGAAAGGCAGCGGCGGCACCGCGUCCGGUCCUCGAGCGUAUGGGGCUUUGUCACCCGCUCUGUAGGCCCGGCCGGCGCUUGCCGAUCAACCCAAAUUUUUAUCCAGGUUGACCUCGGAUCAGGUAGGGAUACCCGCUGAACUUAAGCAUAUCAAUAAGCGGAGGA
rnacentral:misc_RNA from 1 species